GCCAGCACUGAAGUGCAUGCUACCAUGGCUUUGCUGGUCCAGGAUCCAAGCUAGCUAGAUUACAGUUAGCUCAGUGAUAAAUGUGAACCCUCAAUGAGCCAGAGGAAGAGUCACCAGCCGCUACUUUGAGAAAGAGGGAGAUAAUGUGAAGAAAAUCCAAACGAUUGAGAACUGCUGAGCAAGACACUGAAGACUCUGCCUGAAUCAGCAAUGUGGAACUUACACACCCAACAGAUCUCUGAAUCCUACAGUCACAUAUGCACAACUUCUCCCUGGAACGGUUUGUGUGCUAAUCCAAUCAGGGAAGAGAAAAGUACAAGAUGGACUUAUCUGACCAAUGACUGAUCCUAGGAGUAGCAUAACAUGGCUCAUGGAACCAUUUCAAGACCAUAGGACCAUUAAGAGCUGCAGGGAAUCCAUGGCGUGUCAGUAUGGAUGUAAAGAGCCCAUGCUCACCCCAAAACUCUCAACAUACCGAACCUUUACUUCACCCACAUGAAAUUGCCUAUGUCGUUCCCUGCAGUCAGAGUUAAGAAGGCAGCAGAC